CAAGAAGAAUCACUGAGGUAUCAAGAAAAGCUUUCUUCUAAUUUUGAGCAUCAUCAAUCUGGCAUUUUCUUGUACAAAUCGGUGCAUUACAGACAGACUCUGUGAAGGCAGCUGGCUGGAGGCUGGAAGCAAGGCUGGAACCAAGACAGGGCAGAAAGAACAACCCCCCACAGAGACAGCCAUUUUUCCUCAGAUUGUGUUUUUCUGAACUCAAACAGCGUUCCUUGGACCACC